rnacentral:rRNA from 1 species
UUUAAAGAGAGUUUGAUCCUGGCUCAGGACGAACGCUGGCGGCGUGCCUAAUACAUGCAAGUCGAACGAACGGAGGAAGAGCUUGCUCUUCCAAAGUUAGUGGCGGACGGGUGAGUAACACGUGGGCAACCUGCCUGUAAGUUGGGGAUAACUCCGGGAAACCGGGGCUAAUACCGAAUGAUAAAGUGUGGCGCAUGCCACGCUUUUGAAAGAUGGUUUCGGCUAUCGCUUACAGAUGGGCCCGCGGUGCAUUAGCUAGUUGGUAGGGUAAUGGCCUACCAAGGCAACGAUGCAUAGCCGACCUGAGAGGGUG